rnacentral:lncRNA from 1 species
CAUUUUGUCUAAUCAUCAAAUCUAUUCUUACAAUGAAUAUGUGCCCGCCCUACUAAUUAAUAAUAUCACAAACUUGAGAUCAUCAGACGACCGACCUAAAUCAAAUGGCGGAGGAGCUCUCCCGACACAAUGCAAAAGACCUGGCCAGUUUCACAGCAUCUUGCACCCUAAGCCGAGUUCCUUGUUGCCCAACAACCACAGAUGCCACCUUAGCGGCAAAGCCACCCAUACCUUUCAAAUCCGAAACUCCCCGCAGUAUACCAUACAAUAUACCUGAAGCAUAAGCAUCCCCCGCACCACAAGUAUCCACCGGCGGCGUGCAAGGAGGAGCAGGAAUAUACACUGCUUCCCCUUUCACCCCGAUAUAAGAUCCUCUUGGUCCAUCCGUCACCGAUACUAGAGGCACAAAGUGGCUUAGGUACCUUGUAGCCGAAACGGGGCUUUCCUUCGACGAAAAGUGACAGAAAGCUCUGGCUUCAUCGCUAUUCGCGAAAACGAUGUCAGCAUAGUUAGCCAUGAUGUCCCUGGGCCGCCCCCAAAAAAAAAAAAAGAAACAGCACCUCAUUAGCAAACCACAAAUUACUCGUUAGGAAUUGGGUUUGAAAGAUCAGAAUAUGCUGCAUAGCAUCGCCUAAAUGCACCAGGUUCCAAGCUCUAAUAGUUUAAGAACAACAAGCUGACAAAGUAGCAGAUACUUGAGGAGGCCUAUGUAAAUUAGUACUGCUCAAUGCUUCUCUACAGUUAAUUAAAUAGAUCUUCGAGUAUGAAGGGGAAGCCGUACAAAAAUCUAAAGCAAAUCUUCUGAAAGAGUUGUUAUACGCUAAACUCCAGUGCUAAGACAUAUAAGAAACGAGGCGGAGGCUGGGAAGAACAUAUGCCAUAUUUACCAAAAAUCAUCAUAGUGUCUCUCAAUGCAAGAAAUAUCUGAUGCUGUGACAGCGACUAAAGCACCAAAGCUGCGGGCAACCUCACAUGCUUUUGAUAUGGUUUUGAUUGUAUCAGGAAAUUCAAAUAGAUAUCCUUCAACAAUGAGCACAUCUGUUUUGCAAAUUGAGCUAGCCAAGGAGGAAUCGUAACUAAUGGUGGAAGAUGUACCCUGUCACCACAAACAAAGAGAGUCUAAGUAAAAGAACAUGUGCAAAAUAAAAAGGGGCAGUACCCUGACAACGUGCGUAACACGAAAUACAAUAUACAUUCAUUGAAAACUGCAGAAUGGUUUUUGAGAGAAUAAAGGCAGUGCAAAUAUCAUUCCACCCAAAACAAUAGGGUCACUCCAUUUAAUCAAAAGAUGCAUGCUGCUUUAUACUCACAGCCAGAAAACAAAAAUUUGCUGCAGAACCUAUCUGCAAAUGAAUAGGGCCUAAGUUGUGGUUGACAGAGAGAUAAUGCCUCCAGUCAUCAUGUAGACAGUGAGAUUAUGCACAACAACAUCACAGUGGAAAUUAGUUAUUCAAAAUGUCAAACUAUAUUUUUUUUUAAAAAAAAAAGGGAAAGAAUGCUGUUUUUACUAUAUAUAUCCAUAAAACCAUUUCAGCGCCGCCAACUCCAGCUGAUAUCGAUAAGCUACAUCCUUUCGUCAUUAUCAUCAUAACUACAUAAAGCUAAUCAUCAAGUUUAUCAAGUGCUUUUCCUUAAAGCAAAUCCGUCACCUCAUUAUCUACUCUCAAGUAGGGACUACAAUAGCAUCUAAAACAAUUUAAUGUAAUUUGAAAUUGGUUAAACCUAAAAUACAAACGUCAAAGAGUACGUAAAUGAAGUUUCUAAGCAUUAAACUUUCUUUGAUCAGUCAUAGCUGCCAUGACCGUAGCACUGUUAGGAUCGCAGGAAGCUGCCACCACAAUUCCUCAAAUACAACCAUGCUAACUUUAAUCGAGCACCAAAGCCUACAUUCUAUCUUAUAACAAGGCCACCAACACAACCAAAACUUCAGUAUCACCAGAUAUGCGAGUACCCAACACUAGAAUACUGGCCUUGUUAUCAAUUGAUUAUUUUAGCUAAUUAUAGAUUCAGAUUUUCAAUAAUCAGUUUUUUGACGUUUUGGUUUGGUUUUGCACUUAGAUUAUAGAUUUUUUAAUAGCCAAAUAAGCUAAAAUCCAUAAUCUACCAAAGAUUUUUGCUGAUUCUGAUUAUUUUCUAUAAUCAGCUUAUGCAAAAUCUUAAGCAAAAGAACUAGGCCACUCCAAAAAGCAUCAAUUUUUGUGAAACACGAACUCAUGGUGAGCAAAACAAAAGGAGCUCCACCACUGGUUGAACUUGAUGCAAAAAACUUCUUCCCUGAAAAGGUUAAGCACCCAUUAAGUACCUGAUAAGCAAGCAUUGUACGCUGGGCAUCUGGUGUUGUGAGAACAACAACUGUUCCAGUAGUUCCCUCAUUAACAGGUGCCGACAGGAAACUCACAUUUGCUCGUUUCAAUUUUGACCUAUCCAACACAACCAGAUUAGAAACAAUAAGCAGUACAAAAAUGUUGGUGUUGCAGAAAUACAUACACCACAAAGGCACCUUUUUAAGUGAAAAAAUGAGAGAGAGAGAGAGAGAGAGAGAGAGAGCCCAGGGAUUUCCAAUGUUCUUGGAAAGAUUGGUAGAAAUUUUCAUUUGACAGAGUUCAGCAAUAAUUAAAACCUGUGGAUAUUUAAGUAUGGUGAAAACUCAACAGAAAAGGGUGAGGACAAUAAAGGAUGACAUACCUGUAAAACCCACCAAGCGGAUCACUUCCAACACUGCCUGCCAUAGCUACAUUUAGGGAAGGACCUCCCACAGGUAGACCACCAAGCCUGGCCAAGGCGACCAGAGUGUUGGAAAGAGAGCCACCAGCUGCAGCCUUGUAGCUGCAUCCAUCCAUAGCCUGUAAAACUCUACCCCUUUCCUCAUGAUUUACAACUUUCCUUGUACCCUUUUCCAGUCCAAGUCUCUCGAGGAAUUCAUCAUCAACCAUGCCAGAAAAAUCAACCUAAGAAGAAAAAGGAUCACGCCACGAAUUUCUCCUUUUGCGAACAAAACAAGAAAAGAAAAGGAAAGGAAAAGAGAAGGUGACGAAAUUGUUUUGCUCCAGUGAAAGUGGCAAAUAGUGGACGGAGGGUGCACGAAGUAGGAGAAUUGGAAAAGGGUGUCAUCAACUGACAACUAAUCAACGAAGAAAGACAUAGGGGAAGGGAAUGUGUGAUAAUCAGAGCAACAAGUGCUGUUGGAGAUGGCAGAAGAUAAAUAGAGCAGUAGUUCAGUAAUUGAAAGCGAAUUGGGGUAGUAGUACGAGUUGAAAAGUUACCAUGGCCUGGCCGAGACCCAAGACGUCCCAUCUGUCGGGCAAAGAAGAAGGAGAAGGAGGAGAGAGGUCAUGAAGAUUGUGGCGGCAGCUGCGGCGGCGGUGGCAUUGAGGAAUUGGAACGUGGGAGUCGUCGUCAUCGUCAUCAUCAUCAUCAUCUUCAGAGUCGGAAUCAGUUUGGGAAUGGGUGGUUGUAUGACUAAAAUCAUCGGAACUUCCAUCGUCGGAGGAGGAGGAGGAGGAGGAGAGCCUGGUGGUGGUGGGGGUAGGGUGGUGGUAGGCAAAGCCAUUAUUGUCAGAGUAAUAAGAAGUUGAAGAGGAGGUAGACAUAGAAGAAGAAGGAAGAGGAGUAAUAAUAGGAGGAGAGGUAGGGGUGCCGGGGAAAGGGAAAAAUAGAGAAGAGGCGGAGGAAGAGCUGGGAAAGGGAAAAGAAUAAGUAGGAGUAGGAGUGAGUGGAGAGCUGGAGAUGGUAGAAUGAAGAGGGUGAGGAAAGAGAGGGGGAUUGGUGGAGGAUUUGAUCCUGAACAAGUGGGGAAUUGGUGGAGGAGGAGACCCAGCCAUGAAAUUCAUGAUAGAUAAGGGGUGUUGGCGUUGGACGAUACAAACCGACGACAUAUCUUUUUCCACUAGAAAAAAUGUUAGUUAUU